UUGAAAUCAGGAAAAGAGACAGUUGUUUUGUUCAUAACCAUAUAUCUCUACACCGACAUGCAUCAACUCUUCUUGCAGACAGCGAUAAAAUUAUACGAAAAGAAGAGAAGAAGAAGAAGAGGUACUUUACCUGUAAAUUGAUCAUCCCAGUUGAUUCCUUUCAUCUUCGGGGAGCCGCUACUACCAUCUAGAUUCACUGUUAGUCAAGCUCAACCUGAACAAUCGAAAUCAAGAACAGUGAAAGCUUGGAAUUGCAAGUUUAGUCAUCGUGUUGGAAGGGAGUGUGAAAAAAGAAGAGGUAUUCGUUCACAGCGACCGUUGCGUUAUCAUUCAUCUACUCAAAAAAGAAAUAGGAUGCUUGCAACUGCUGCAACUGCCCUUGGCAUCCAAGUUGGGUGUGGAUUCAGGCCUAAGAUUCCAUGUAGGAGAUGAAUGUAGAGCUAUGAGGGGGGUGCAUAAUCACAGGCCAUAUUACUUUCUUAUAUGCAGAGGCAGCUGCUGCAACUGUCAUGGGCAUCCAAGUUGGAUGUGGAUUGCAUUCAAGAGAUGAGUCUGGAGCUAAUGUUGCACAAGAUAAUGAACUUGUCCAUCAGAUUCUUCAAGCAUAUGCUGCACAAGAUGGAAAUUGGAUUGCUCGUAUUGCAGCAUUACUUGUGGGUGAGGAUUGAACACAAUCUUGUAUAGCUUAUGAAAUUGGAAGGCAUAGUUCAAUGAAAUGUUUA